rnacentral:rRNA from 1 species
GGGUGAGAUCAUACCAACACUAAAGUACUGAAUCUCAUCAAAACGCCACAGUUAACAUACUUGGCUGAGAGUAAUACUAGAAUGGGUGACCUCCUAGGAUGAGAUAAAUCUCAUCUC